UACGUAGGAUGCACGCCUUGUCCGGGUUUAUUGGUUUUAAAGGGUGCGUAGGCGGCCUAUUAAGUUAGGGGUGAAAACGUUCGGCUUAACCGGAUACCCGCCAUUGAUACUGAUAGACUUGAGUGCGACAGAGGGUGUUGGAAUGUGUGGUGUAGCGGUGAAAUGCUUAGAUAUCACGCAGAACACCAAUUGCGAAGGCAGAUGCCUAUGUCGUAACUGACGCUGAGGCACGAAAGCGUGGGGAGCAAACAGG
rnacentral:rRNA from 1 species